rnacentral:rRNA from 1 species
UGUGAGCUCGAUGAGUAGGGCGGGACACGUGGUAUCCUGUCUGAAUAUGGGGGGACCAUCCUCCAAGGCUAAAUACUCCUGACUGACCGAUAGUGAACCAGUACCGUGAGGGAAAGGCGAAAAGAACCCCGGCGAGGGGAGUGAAAAAGAACCUGAAACCGUGUACGUACAAGCAGUGGGAGCCUCUUAAUGGGGUGACUGCGUACCUUUUGUAUAAUGGGUCAGCGACUUAUAUUCUGUAGCAAGGUUAACCGAAUAGGGGAGCCGAAGGGAAACCGAGUCUUAACUGGGCGUUAAGUUGCAGGGUAUAGACCCGAAACCCGGUGAUCUAGCCAUGGGCAGGUUGAAGGUUGGGUAACACUAACUGGAGGACCGAACCGACUAAUGUUGAAAAAUUAGCGGAUGACUUGUGGCUGGGGGUGAAAGGCCAAUCAAACCGGGAGAUAGCUGGUUCUCCCCGAAAGCUAUUUAGGUAGCGCCUCGUGAAUUCAUCUCCGGGGGUAGAGCACUGUUUCGGCAAGGGGGUCAUCCCGACUUACCAACCCGAUGCAAACUGCGAAUACCGGAGAAUGUUAUCACGGGAGACACACGGCGGGUGCUAACGUCCGUCGUGAAGAGGGAAACAACCCAGACCGCCAGCUAAGGUCCCAAAGUCAUGGUUAAGUGGGAAACGAUGUGGGAAGGCCCAGACAGCCAGGAUGUUGGCUUAGAAGCAGCCAUCAUUUAAAGAAAGCGUAAUAGCUCACUGGUCGAGUCGGCCUGCGCGGAAGAUGUAACGGGGCUAAACCAUGCACCGAAGCUGCGGCAGCGACACUAUGUGUUGUUGGGUAGGGGAGCGUUCUGUAAGCCUGUGAAGGUGGCCUGUGAGGGUUGCUGGAGGUAUCAGAAGUGCGAAUGCUGACAUAAGUAACGAUAAAGCGGGUGAAAAGCCCGCUCGCCGGAAGACCAAGGGUUCCUGUCCAACGUUAAUCGGGGCAGGGUGAGUCGACCCCUAAGGCGAGGCCGAAAGGCGUAGUCGAUGGGAAACAGGUUAAUAUUCCUGUACUUGGUGUUACUGCGAAGGGGGGACGGAGAAGGCUAUGUUGGCCGGGCGACGGUUGUCCCGGUUUAAGCGUGUAGGCUGGUUUUCCAGGCAAAUCCGGAAAACCAAGGCUGAGGCGUGAUGACGAGGCACUACGGUGCUGAAGCGACAAAUGCCCUGCUUCCAGGAAAAGCCUCUAAGCAUCAGGUAACAUCAAAUCGUACCCCAAACCGACACAGGUGGUCAGGUAGAGAAUACCAAGGCGCUUGAGAGAACUCGGGUGAAGGAACUAGGCAAAAUGGUGCCGUAACUUCGGGAGAAGGCACGCUGAUAUGUAGGUGAAGCGACUUGCUCGUGGAGCUGAAAUCAGUCGAAGAUACCAGCUGGCUGCAACUGUUUAUUAAAAACACAGCACUGUGCAAACACGAAAGUGGACGUAUACGGUGUGACGCCUGCCCGGUGCCGGAAGGUUAAUUGAUGGGGUUAGCGGCAACGCGAAGCUCUUGAUCGAAGCCCCGGUAAACGGCGGCCGUAACUAUAACGGUCCUAAGGUAGCGAAAUUCCUUGUCGGGUAAGUUCCGACCUGCACGAAUGGCGUAAUGAUGGCCAGGCUGUCUCCACCCGAGACUCAGUGAAAUUGAACUCGCUGUGAAGAUGCAGUGUACCCGCGGCAAGACGGAAAGACCCCGUGAACCUUUACUAUAGCUUGACACUGAACAUUGAGCCUUGAUGUGUAGGAUAGGUGGGAGGCUUUGAAGUGUGGACGCCAGUCUGCAUGGAGCCGACCUUGAAAUACCACCCUUUAAUGUUUGAUGUUCUAACGUUGGCCCGUAAUCCGGGUUGCGGACAGUGUCUGGUGGGUAGUUUGACUGGGGCGGUCUCCUCCUAAAGAGUAACGGAGGAGCACGAAGGUUGGCUAAUCCUGGUCGGACAUCAGGAGGUUAGUGCAAUGGCAUAAGCCAGCUUGACUGCGAGCGUGACGGCGCGAGCAGGUGCGAAAGCAGGUCAUAGUGAUCCGGUGGUUCUGAAUGGAAGGGCCAUCGCUCAACGGAUAAAAGGUACUCCGGGGAUAACAGGCUGAUACCGCCCAAGAGUUCAUAUCGACGGCGGUGUUUGGCACCUCGAUGUCGGCUCAUCACAUCCUGGGGCUGAAGUAGGUCCCAAGGGUAUGGCUGUUCGCCAUUUAAAGUGGUACGCGAGCUGGGUUUAGAACGUCGUGAGACAGUUCGGUCCCUAUCUGCCGUGGGCGCUGGAGAACUGAGGGGGGCUGCUCCUAGUACGAGAGGACCGGAGUGGACGCAUCACUGGUGUUCGGGUUGUCAUGCCAAUGGCACUGCCCGGUAGCUAAAUGCGGAAGAGAUAAGUGCUGAAAGCAUCUAAGCACGAAACUUGCCCCGAGAUGAGUUCUCCCUGACUCCUUGA